CGCAGCUACCAUGCAGUCGAGCGGUAGCACAGAGAGCUUGCUCUCGGGUGACGAGCGGCGGACGGGUGAGUAAUGUCUGGGAAACUGCCUGAUGGAGGGGGAUAACUACUGGAAACGGUAGCUAAUACCGCAUAACGUCGCAAGACCAAAGAGGGGGACCUUCGGGCCUCUUGCCAUCAGAUGUGCCCAGAUGGGAUUAGCUAGUA
rnacentral:rRNA from 1 species